UGUCAAUUCUCUAAUGUGACUUUCCUCCAGUUUCUUCAUGUGGGCACUUAGUGCUAUGAACUUCCCUCUUAGCACUGCUUUCAGGGUGUCCCAUAAGUUCAGAACCUUUUCCGGUGACCAGUUCCUCUUUGGCAUUGGACCUGGGCUCCUCUCCAGCAUUCCAGAAGGUUCGUCCAGACAGCACUAGCGGAGAUGUAGUCAGAUGGCUUCAGGUGACGGGAGGAACGCGAAACCAGCGCAGUGGUCUAACAGCCAGACCUUUAAACCGGAGUGGGACAGCGGCUCGGCCUGGUAGUCAUAGCAGAGGGUUAGCGUCAGCACACUGGCAGCCAGAAGAGUCAGAUGGCCAUCCAAUCAGAAAAGUCCCAUCCUCUGUGUACAACCUGAAGAGUCAAGGGAUAAGAAACACGGAAAAUGUGACCAGACACCCACACAG
rnacentral:lncRNA from 1 species